rnacentral:lncRNA from 1 species
CUCAGUUUUCCUAAUACUUGGUAACAUUUAAUAAUAGAUUGAGUUUUGCUUUUGUUUUUCAUAGAGACUGUAUAGACUCUGUACUUCCAUGUAACUUUCUGCCUUAACCUAAAAAGGCAUUCCCUGGAAGGAGAUCUUGUAACAGGAAGAAAAAGCGAAACCAGGAAAAGAGCCAGAAAGGAUCAACUUGGAGAUGGGCUGUGGCUAAAUAGUGGGUUUUCCUGAAAAGUAACUGCAACCUUGCUUUUCGUGCUUCUUCAAACCCAAAAGAACCUAAAGGGAAUUUUUAAAAAUCCUGAUUUUCUUCUUAAUUGUAAAACCUAGAGGAUGCCUUAGGGAGAAGAAAGAUAACCUGGAAUUUGGUUUUAAAUGGAUUUAAGUAAACUUUGAAUUAAGUAGCUUAUUCCAUUUUUGAGAGAUUUCUUUUUAAGAUUUUAGAUUCACUUAAUGUAAUGUUGAAUUGCCAUGAAUGUAACCUGGAGUUUGAUUUGAGACAUUCUGUGGGAUAAGGAAUAGUUUUCUAUUGAACUGUGGUGGCUUUUGCCACUAAUCAGGAUUUAGGGCUGUGCACCUCCAUCUGUUAAGUGAAAUGGAACUUGGCUUCCUAAACACUAUAUUAGACCAACUUGAGUCAAUACUUUUAUUAAGUUUAAUCAGGGAUUCUCAAAAUAUUUAGGAUUCAAAUUAGCCCAAUUAGAAAGCAG